rnacentral:rRNA from 1 species
CACGUAGGGCGCGAGCGUUGUCCGGAAUUAUUGGGCGUAAAGAGCUCGUAGGCGGCCUGUUGCGUCCGCUGUGAAAAGCCCCGGGGCUUAACCCCGGGUCGCAGUGGAUACGGGCAGGCUAGAGGUAGGUAGGGGAGAAUGGAACUCCUGGUGUAGCGGUGGAAUGCGCAGAUAUCAGGAAGAACACCGAUGGCGAAGGCAGUUCUCUGGGCCGUAACUGACGCUGAGGAGCGAAAGCGUGGGGAGCGAACAGG